GUCCCUUUUAUGGGUGAAUCCAUCACUGAAUCCCCACCAUCUGAAGAAAAUGGCCUGCUCCACAUUUGCUUGAGGGCCAUAAGCUCAACGCUGAUAAAAUCCCUCAUGAGCCCUGAACUAACGGAACGACCAGGUGAAAUGAGGUGGCUGAAGUAACAGACAUGCCCAAAACCUCUUGGAGUUGGAUGAAGUAAAAUCUCCUUCUCAGGAAGAGAGCAAACUCUAGGGGUAGAUGCCGCAGGUCGAAUGCUCUGCAAGGACUGCCUCAAAAUCGAAGAAGAUGAGCCUCCAGUGGUAACUCUUCUCCUUAAAACCCCCAACAUCAUAGCCUGGAUCUCUGAUUCAAGCGAGCGGAGAGUCUUUGACUAGUGCGAAUCUAUA
rnacentral:misc_RNA from 1 species